CAUCUUUCUGGCUUCAAGACCACUUCCCAUUUUCCUUUGGGGUUUUGCUCAUGGGUGUUUUAACAUUGUCCUCUUCUCAAUUUGUGAAUUGAUCUUCCAUGUCAUCAUAAUAACUUUUUAUGGUCAGAUUCUUAUUUUUUGGUUGAUGUUGAUAUGAAUAACUCUUUCCUAUUUGUAAGUAAAAUUGAGUUGAUUACCAAAAACUCCAGAAUACUACAGAGAAUUCCUCAAGGUUGCAUAAAUAGGCAUUAUCUGAGAUAGACUUUUAACACAUGUCUCUGUGUUCUAAUAUAUAUUAGAAUAUUGAAUUUUAAAUGUUUGGAGAAGCCAAAAAGGCAACAGGAUUAAUAGAUUUCUUUUUCAAAGGUGAGGAGCAAUUAGAGAUUAAGUAAUCUGUCAAAGAUCCUAAACUGGGGAUGUAGCCCCUCUCAUGGCUUCACACCUGGGAGUAUUAAUUAUAAGAUUUUUAAUAAUGCCUGAUUAGAAGAGUAUGGUAUACCUUGCAGUACUAUUACAGUUUUAACAAUUUAUUUUAAAUUGAUUCAAAUGAGAUUUAUUUGAAGAAUUGUGAAUUCUGUUAGCUUAAUUCAGACUGCCAAAAAUUUACAUUUGAAAGAAUGAAAAACAAAACCCAAUUUUUAAAUAGUUAGAAAAAUAUGAAUGUAUCAAUCAAAGGAGAUUUAGAAAGGAGAUUGAAAACCUCUUCUCAACAUUCCCAAGUAUGCUCAAACAUUACAAAUAGAUAAUCUUUCUACUUUCUACUAGUUUUUAAUGUUUCAGAACUUUUCCUCUUUGCUUUUUAAUCAUGUAUUUAGAUUGCUGUGAGUCAAACAACUAUCAGUUAAGUUAAUCUUAGUUUUGGUUACUUGUAAAUUUUAAGCCUGAUGUUAAAGUAUAAUGAUCUAUUGAACUUAACAAAUCCAAAUGUCAAGGAAAUGUUAUUACUUGGAUUGAUAUUUAUGGAAUAAAAGCUGAUGAAAUGUUUUAUGUUGUAGUUAAUAGCUUGUCUAUUGUAGUAAAUGUUUUCUGGAAUAUAGCAUUCCUAUAGACAAUUUUGUUUAUAGGAACAUAGGAUUUAAAAAAAAUUAAUCCCUUUCUAUCAACCUUUAUUUCCAUUGUUAUGUAUAAUUCAAUUUUCCUAAAAUACGUCAUUCUAAUUUUUGGAGAUCUUUUAUGAACCUAACAUGUAAACAACAUAAUAUUUAGAAAGUAUAUGGAAGGAUCAGAAAAUAUAUUUUAGAGGAAAGCUCUCUGAUAUUUUAAAUUGUAAUAGAAUGUUUGGAAAGUAACUUAUAGGGAUGUUGCUAGGUUUUUCUUUUUCAAAACUUCUCUGCUUUUUCUUCUGUCUGCUCAGACUGCACGAGGCCAUGACAUUCCUACAGUGGUAAGUAAACAUGUCAAACUCAUUUGCCAUGUGGUCCAAGGAGACCUUCCUUCUAUACACAGAAUUAUAGAUAUUAACAAUUAAAUUCUAGCACCAAACAGCUGUUUUUUACACACUUUUUAAGGGUAUAUUAGCUCAUGAUAUUUUAAAAGUUUAUUUUAGAUCGAAUGACUUGGUAGUGAAUAAUUAUUAAAUUUUAUUUAAUUACCAACUCUGCCAUCUUAACAACCCUGUUAUUGGGGAGAGGUAUAAAGUGAGUUAGCAUAUUUAGAUUGAUUUAUAUGUUAGUUCUAGGGCUUAUUGGGGACGUUGGCCCUAUCUCUUGUCCUUUAGUACUGGGAGAAAUAAAUUUACAGAUAGAAACCGACCUGGAUUUCUCCGGUCUGAACUCAGAUCACGCAGGACUUUAAUUGUUAAACAAACGUAAUCUGAAUGAGCAAAACAUCCUUCCUAAUGAUUUGUAAUUUCAAUCACUGUUCAAAAUGUCAAGUAGCAUUAUUGUUAUUGCAUUGUUUUUAAAAUCAGUUCAAAGGAGUAAUGAGUCCAAUGUGUGUUAACUCAAAGUUUUAAAAAGCCAUGUCUCAGCUGAUAUGCACUUGUCAAUGCUGCCUUGAUGCUUUUUUUCUCCUUUAUGAGGAUUUUUAUUUUCUCUCUGUGUUUAUUCUCUUUUUAAUCUCAUCUGAAUUGUACUCUUCAGAAUCAUAGUCUAUUCUGUUUAUCUUCAUGGAAUUCCUGCAUAAGAUGUAUACAACACAUGUGAGGAUCUAAUUUGGUCCUCAGUUACUUAUUUCCCAAGGAGCAAUUCUUUUAUUGCCAAUAUCUUUCCCAUCUUUUGUGGGAAAUUGAAACAAAUAGGGACUGACCAUUCAGUUUAGGACAUUAAAUUUGAUCAAUGCAGCUUAAACACAGUUCUAAAUUAUAGGCAAUUAAAACCCCAUGGUUAGAAAAGAAAGAGCCUAUUUAUGGAAAAAAUCUAUUGUAUGGUAUGAUUGAGGCAGCUCAAUGGCAUAUUACUUUUCAUUAUAGAAAUUGGUCAUAAAUAUAAACACGUAAUGAUGAAUAAACACCUAAUCCUUUAUUUCUAGUAUCUCUGCUGUCUUUCCAUCUCCCGAUCUUCAACAGAUAAAUUGGUGUUUGAUGAUGGGUUACAAGAAGACACAACAGCUGCUCCUAUGGAAUAUAGCUUUGCUGCAUUUUCCUGCUGGAUUUUGUUAGGAUUGUGAAGCAGCAGAUUAGACAGCCAUGUCACGGAUCCAGAUCAACAGAACAACAGCCUGUUCUAGAGUGGACCACCUCCCACUCCACAGAGAGUCCUGAUACAAACCUCAUGAGGUCUCAUCCUCAUACUGGGUCUGUCCAAACAAGUACUAAGGUGGCAGGACGCAGAGGAUGACAGCUCCCACAUCUCCCGCCAAAGGGGGCCUUGGAGAGAAAAGAUGACAGCUGAAGGGAGAAGGAUCUAGAGUGAGAAGGACUUAAUACAAGAAGACCAACCAGUGAAGUAUUACAGUAAUUCGGCUGUGCGAUGCAACCCAUAAGAGUAGAUGCUGUUAUCUUCCUAUUUUAUAGAGGGUGAAGACAAGGCAAACAGAAAGUGCAACUGUGUCCAGGUUCUUCACGCAUCUAGCAAAUGAUUGAGAAUUUAAUAAAGAACACAAGGAUGUGGAAGAGCAGGGUGAAAAAAA